rnacentral:rRNA from 1 species
AGAGUUUGAUCCUGGCUCAGGAUGAACGCUGGCGGCGUGCUUAACACAUGCAAGUCGAGCGAAGCACUUAUGAAAGAUUCUUCGGAUGAAUUCAUUUGUGACUGAGCGGCGGACGGGUGAGUAACGCGUGGGUAACCUGCCUCAUACAGGGGGAUAACAGUUGGAAACGACUGCUAAUACCGCAUAAGCGCACAGUACCGCAUGGUACCGUGUGAAAAACUCCGGUGGUAUGAGAUGGACCCGCGUCUGAUUAGCUAGUUGGUGGGGUAACGGCCUACCAAGGCGACGAUCAGUAGCCGACCUGAGAGGGUGACCGGCCACAUUGGGACUGAGACACGGCCCAAACUCCUACGGGAGGCAGCAGUGGGGAAUAUUGCACAAUGGGGGAAACCCUGAUGCAGCAACGCCGCGUGAGUGAAGAAGUAUUUCGGUAUGUAAAGUUCUAUCAGCAGGGAAGAAAAUGACGGUACCUGACUAAGAAGCCCCGGCUAACUACGUGCCAGCAGCCGCGGUAAUACGUAGGGGGCAAGCGUUAUCCGGAUUUACUGGGUGUAAAGGGAGCGUAGACGGCGAGACAAGUCUGAAGUGAAAGCCCGGGGCUCAACCCCGGGACUGCUUUGGAAACUGCCUUGCUAGAGUGCUGGAGAGGUAAGUGGAAUUCCUAGCGUAGCGGUGAAAUGCGUAGAUAUUAGGAGGAACACCAGUGGCGAAGGCGGCUUACUGGACAGUAACUGACGUUGAGGCUCGAAAGCGUGGGGAGCAAACAGGAUUAGAUACCCUGUAGUCCACGCCGUAAACGAUGAAUACUAGGUGUAGGGGUUGUCAUGACCUCUGUGCCGCCGCUAACGCAUUAAGUAUUCCGCCUGGGGAGUACGGUCGCAAGAUUAAAACUCAAAGGAAUUGACGGGGGCCCGCACAAGCAGCGGAGCAUGUGGUUUAAUUCGAAGCAACGCGAAGAACCUUACCUAGACUUGACAUCUCCUGCAUUACCCUUAAUCGGGGAAGUUCCUUCGGGGACAGGAAGACAGGUGGUGCAUGGUUGUCGUCAGCUCGUGUCGUGAGAUGUUGGGUUAAGUCCCGCAACGAGCGCAACCCUUAUUGUUAGUUGCUACCAUUUAGUUGAGCACUCUAGCGAGACUGCCCGGGUUAACCGGGAGGAAGGUGGGGAUGACGUCAAAUCAUCAUGCCCCUUAUGUCUAGGGCUACACACGUGCUACAAUGGCAAGUACAAAGAGACGCAAUACCGCGAGGUGGAGCAAAACUCAAAAACUUGUCUCAGUUCGGAUUGUAGGCUGAAACUCGCCUACAUGAAGCUGGAGUUGCUAGUAAUCGCGAAUCAGCAUGUCGCGGUGAAUACGUUCCCGGGCCUUGUACACACCGCCCGUCACACCAUGGGAGUUGGCAAUACCCAAAGUGCGUGAUCUAACUCGCAAGAGAGGAAGCGCCCUAAGGUAGGGUCAGCGAUUGGGGUGAAGUCGUAACAAGGUA